GCGCGGUUUCUGGAGCGGAUUGUAACCCGGAGUCAGGAUUCACUAAAUGUGUAGACGUUUUGAAAACAGGGUGUCAGAAUGGCAGAGCAGACACCAGAUGAGUUUAUUUGGUGUGAGGACUGCGGGCAGUACCAUGACUCUGAGUGUCCUGAGCUGGGGCCUGUCGUCACGGUGAAGGACUCGUUUGUUCUGA